GCAUAACCCCCCACCAUAUAUCCCCUACAUCACGAUAAAUGCCACUGUUCCCAAUUGGGAUCAAAAGCCACGGCUGUAUUUUCACCCUCUGUCUUCAUACCACCCCAAUGCUUCGAGUCCAGUCCUGCAGACGUCAGGGUUAGAUAAAACCCCUGUGAAAUGGCCCCAGGAGAGGGAUGUGGACCCAGAAGAGGAAUGUGGACCCCAAAGCCCCCUCAGCACCGCAGGCCUAACAGUGGGUACAUCACCUCCAUUUUGCCCGCGGGAGGAAUCCGUGCUGCUGAGCGUGGUGGCUGCUUGCUCCGGAGCGUUUAUCUCCUUGGACUGUUGGUUAGAGCAAAGCCUCAGGAGGAGCAAGGCCAUACACCUGCCAGCUACCCAAGAGCGAUCCCAAGAAGCUUGGAGAGUACUGAUAGAGGAGAACUCCAUCUCUCCAGAAACCUCACCACUUCCAAAUGUAUUAAUGGAAAAAAUAAUGAGAAUUAGUGAAAAAUGAAAAAAUAAAAAAUAAAAUAAGGCUCUUUCCUAGUUAUUUAACAUAGGAAGGAAAAUCUCCAGAAAUCACCACGUCAUUCCUCACCACGUCCACCACAUUUGGUCAUCUCAGCACUGAUACACACAGAGGGUCCCAGAGCUCCUUCCAGACAGACCCUCACCUUGGGCACAGGACCAGAAGUGAAUUCAGCACCUUGCAGGUCUGGGGGAUGAGCUCGGCAGGGACAUGACUCUUAAAAGUGGAGCCAGAGAGAUGGGGACUUGUACGUGUUGAGCGGCGGUGGCUCAGAAGAGGCCAUCACAUAGCUGUGUGCUCGGGGAAAAGGGCUGAGCUCAAAACAUUCUAAUGACAUUUAAGCUUUUGUCUCCUUCUCAGCAUCCACGUUUGUCCAGUUCUACCUUGGAUCUGCACCUCUGACUCGAGAGCUGAAUUAUGUGUGGUGCAAACAAGUCCUGCCUUUGUUUUAAGACUUCUUUCACCUGAUGUCUUCUGUUUCUCACAUUGUAAGGAAGAAUAAUUGCUCCUUGCUUGCCCUUCCCUGCUGCUCAGGUUUUUAUAGACCUCUGCCACAGCUCCCAUCUGUCAUCCCUCUCCUAUGCUGAUAAGCACCAGGUUAUUUAACUUUCCUCACACAAAGCUGUUUCCACCCCUCUGGUCUCCUUUGACACCCCUCUAAAUUGUCACCUAGGGAGAUCUGAUGUCUCAAUGCAGCAGCUUGGAGCCACCAGACACGCACAAGAAAUACACAAACAAUGCCCCACGUCUGGCUGAAACCUCUGGAAGUGAAAAUCUGAUUAGUCCCACUUUUAACCAUCUCACACCUACCCAGACCAGUCUUCCAGGCAGUGAUCUGGAAGCCUGACUUCUUAAAAUGGCACGUCUUGAAUCACCAAGCCACUCUUAACUGCUCUCCGUGAUGAGUUCUGCUCAGCUGUCAUGCUCUCCUGUCUUCUGCUUCCCAGAAACCAUGAAAAAGUCAGAGAAAAACAUAUACAUAAUAAAUUCAUGAUGGAUUUCCAAGGAUUCUUGUCUCUUUCUUGAGUGGGUCAAGGUUGGACUCAUAGAAAUAAGUGGGGAAAAAGGUGGUGAAGAGGUCUUGAACAAAGCUAACCAGGGCAGUCUUAAAUGAAAUUGAAGGCAGGGGUACACUGCGAGGAAGGAAGGGAUGCUGGGAUGGAGGAAUCCUUUGGGCAGCAAACCCACCCUUGGC
ensembl:lncRNA